rnacentral:rRNA from 1 species
AGCGAACGCUGGCGGCAGGCUUAACACAUGCAAGUCGAGCGGGCACUUCGGUGUCAGCGGCAGACGGGUGAGUAACACGUGGGAACGUACCCUUUGGUUCGGAAUAACGCUGGGAAACUAGAGUUAAUACCGGAUACGCUCUUUCGGGGAAAGGCUUGCUGCCGAAGGAUCGGCCCGCGUCUGAUUAGCCAGUUGGUGGGGUAAUGGCCUACCAAGGCGACGAUCAGUAGCUGGUCUGAGAGGAUGAUCAGCCACGCUGGGACUGAGACACGGCCCACACUCCUACGGAGGGCAGCAGUAGAGAAUAUUAUAGGAUGGGCGCAAGCCUGAUCCAGCCAUGCCGCGUAAGAGAUGAAGGCCUUAGGAUUGUAAAGCUCUUUUUUCCGAGACGAUAAUGACGGUACCGGAUAAAUAAGCCCCGGCUAACUUCGUG